rnacentral:rRNA from 1 species
UACGUAGGGUGCAAGCGUUAAUCGGAAUUACUGGGCGUAAAGGGUGCGUAGGUGGUUAUGUAAGCCAGAUGUGAAAUCCCCGGGCUUAACCUGGGAAUGGCAUUUGGGACUGCAUGGCUAGAGUGAGUCAGAGGGGGGUAGAAUUCCACGUGUAGCAGUGAAAUGCGUAGAGAUGUGGAGGAAUACCGAUGGCGAAGGCAGCCCCCUGGGAUAUCACUGACACUGAAGCACGAAAGCGUGGGGAGCAAACAGG